rnacentral:rRNA from 1 species
GACGAACGCUGGCGGCGUGCCUAAUACAUGCAAGUUGAGCGCUGAAGGUUGGUACUUGUACCCACUGGAUGAGCAGCAAACGGGUGAGUAACGCGUGGGGAAUCUGCCUUUGAGCGGGGGACAACAUUUGGAAACGAAUGCUAAUACCGCAUAAAACUUUAAACACAAGUUUUAAGUUUGAAAGAUGCAAUUGCAUCACUCAAAGAUGAUCCCGCGUUGUAUUAGCUAGUUGGUGAGGUAAAGGCUCACCAAGGCGAUGAUACAUAGCCGACCUGAGAGGGUGAUCGGCCACAUUGGGACUGAGACACGGCCCAAACUCCUACGGGAGGCAGCAGUAGGGAAUCUUCGGCAAUGGACGAAAGUCUGACCGAGCAACGCCGCGUGAGUGAAGAAGGUUUUCGGAUCGUAAAACUCUGUUGGUAGAGAAGAACGUUGGUGAGAGUGGAAAGCUCAUCAAGUGACGGUAACUACCCAGAAAGGGACGGCUAACUACGUG